rnacentral:rRNA from 1 species
GACGAACGCUGGCGGCGUGCUUAACACAUGCAAGUCGAACGGAAAGGCCCUGCUUUUGUGGGGUGCUCGAGUGGCGAACGGGUGAGUAACACGUGAGUAACCUGCCCUUGACUUUGGGAUAACUUCAGGAAACUGGGGCUAAUACCGGAUAGGAGCUCCUGCUGCAUGGUGGGGGUUGGAAAGUUUCGGCGGGUGGGGAUGGACUCGCGGCUUAUCAGCUUGUUGGGGGGGUAGUGGCUUACCAAGGCUGUGACGGGUAGCCGGCCUGGGAGGGUGACCGGCCACAUUGGGACUGAGAUACGGCCCAGACUCCUACGGGAGGCAGCAUUGGGGAUUAUUGCACAAUGGGCGGAAGCCGGAUGCAGCAACGCGGCGUGCGGGAUGACGGCCUUCGGGUGGUAAACCGCUUUCGCCUGUGACGAAGCGUGAGUGACGGUAAUGGGUGAAGAAGCACCGGCUAACUACGUG